AACAUGGACUUCGUUAAAAUUUUCGUUUUUAUCUUUUUUUCUCCAUCAUGUGUCCUCUCUCAGACAUUACAAGAGUCUGGUCCUGGAACUGUGAAACCCUCAGAGUCACUCAGACUGACCUGCACAGUUUCUGGGUUUGAGCUAACUAGCAAUGGUGUGAAUUGGGUCAGGCAGCAAUCUGGGAAGGAACUGGAAUGGAUUGGAGCUAUAGCGACUGGUGGGAACACAUAUAUUGCUGAUACACUUAAAAACAGAGUUACAAUUACUAGAGAUACUGGGAAGAAGCAGGUCUACCUCCAAAUGAAUGGGAUGGAAGUUAAAGACACCGCCAUGUAUUACUGUGCAAGAUACACACAGUGACAGAAGAGAAUGAGGAACU